rnacentral:rRNA from 1 species
ACGUAGGAGGCGAGCGUUAUCCGGAUUUACUGGGUGUAAAGCGCGAGCAGGCGGCGCGUUAAGUUGGGUGUAAAAGCUCCCGGCUCAACUGGGAGAGGUCGCUCAAGACUGGCGUGCUAGAGGGUGGUAGAGGAAGGUGGAAUUCCGGGUGAAGUGGUGUACUGCGCAGAUAUUCGGAGGGACACGAGUGGCGAAGGCUGGCUUAGGGGCUUCGAUUGACGCUUAGACGGGAAAGCGAGGGUUGCAUACGG